UACGGAGGGUGCGAGCGUUGUCCGGAAUCACUGGGCGUAAAGGGCGCGUAGGCGGCCUGGCAAGUCGAUGGUGAAAGCCCGAGGCUCAACUUCGGGUCGGCCACUGAUACUGCUGGGCUUGAGUCGACGUAGAGGCAGAUGGAAUUCCGGGUGUAGCGGUGGAAUGCGUAGAGAUCCGGAAGAACACCGGUGGCGAAGGCAGGUCUCUGGGCAUUAACUGACGCUGAGGAGCGAAAGCAUGGGGAGCGAACAGG
rnacentral:rRNA from 1 species